GGGCGUAAGCGUACGUUAGGCGGCGUGUUAAGCAAGAUGUGAAAGCCCCGGGCUCAACCUGGGAAUUGCAUUUUGAACUGGCAUGCUAGAGUCCUGAAGAGGGUGGUAGAAUUUCCAGUGUAGCGGUGAAAUGCGUAGAUAUUGGAAGGAAUACCGGUGGCGAAGGCGGCCACCUGGUCAGAGACUGACGCUGAGGUACGAAAGCGUGGGGAGCAAACAGGAUUAGAUACCCUGGUAGUCCACGCCGUAAACGAUGUCAACUAGUUGUUCGUGUCAUUAAGACGUGAGUAACGCAGCUAACGCACUAAGUUGACCGCCUGGGGAGUACGGCCGCAAGGUUAAAACUCAAAUGAAUUGACGGGGGCCCGCACAAGCGGUGGAGCAUGUGGUUUAAUUCGAUGCAACGCGAAGAACCUUACCAUCCCUUGACAUCCAGUGAAUUUU
rnacentral:rRNA from 1 species